GAUGAAGAACGCAGCGAAAUGCGAUACGUAGUGUGAAUUGCAGAAUUCAGUGAAUCAUCGAAUCUUUGAACGCACAUUGCGCCCUUUGGUAUUCCAAAGGGCAUGCCUGUUCGAGCGUCAUUAAGUCCACUUAAGCCCUGCUUAGUGUUGGGAGACUGCUCCAGCGGUGCUACCCUGUAGCUACCCUGCAGCUCCUCAAAGACAGCGGCGGAGUUGUGGUAUCCUCUGAGCUUAGUAACUUGUUCUAGCUUUCGAGUACACCACUUCCCCUGCCGUAAAACCCUUAAUUUUUAAUGGUUGACCUCGGAUCAGGUAGGAAUACCCGCUGAACUUAAGCAUAUCAAUAAGCGGAGGA
rnacentral:misc_RNA from 1 species